GGGACACGUGGUAUCCUGUCUGAAUAUGGGGGGACCAUCCUCCAAGGCUAAAUACUCCUGACUGACCGAUAGUGAACCAGUACCGUGAGGGAAAGGCGAAAAGAACCCCGGCGAGGGGAGUGAAAAAGAACCUGAAACCGUGUACGUACAAGCAGUGGGAGCACGCUUAGGCGUGUGACUGCGUACCUUUUGUAUAAUGGGUCAGCGACUUAUAUUCUGUAGCAAGGUUAACCGAAUAGGGGAGCCGAAGGGAAACCGAGUCUUAACUGGGCGUUAAGUUGCAGGGUAUAGACCCGAAACCCGGUGAUCUAGCCAUGGGCAGGUUGAAGGUUGGGUAACACUAACUGGAGGACCGAACCGACUAAUGUUGAAAAAUUAGCGGAUGACUUGUGGCUGGGGGUGAAAGGCCAAUCAAACCGGGAGAUAGCUGGUUCUCCCCGAAAGCUAUUUAGGUAGCGCCUCGUGAAUUCAUCUCCGGGGGUAGAGCACUGUUUCGGCAAGGGGGUCAUCCCGACUUACCAACCCGAUGCAAACUGCGAAUACCGGAGAAUGUUAUCACGGGAGACACACGGCGGGUGCUAACGUCCGUCGUGAAGAGGGAAACAACCCAGACCGCCAGCUAAGGUCCCAAAGUCAUGGUUAAGUGGGAAACGAUGUGGGAAGGCCC
rnacentral:rRNA from 1 species